GCCUGUGUGGCGGAAUUGGUAGACGCAUCGGAUUCAAAAUCCGACGAGUUUAUCCUCGUGCCGGUUCGACUCCGGCCACAGGUACCA
rnacentral:tRNA from 1 species